rnacentral:rRNA from 1 species
UCCCCGAAAUAGCUUUAGGGCUAGCCUCAAGGUGAGAGAUACGGAGGUAGAGCACUGAAUGUCCUAGGGGGUAUUGCACCUACCGAAGACUAUCAAACUCCGAAUGCCGUCAUCUUAUACUUGGGAGUCAGACGGUGGGUGAUAAGAUUCAUAGUCGAAAGGGCAACAGCCCAGAUCGUCAGCUAAGGUCCCUAAAUGUAAGUUAAGGGGGAAAGGAUGUGGGAUUGCACAGACCACCAGGAUGUUGGCUUAGAAGCAGCCACUCAUUCAAAGAGUGCGUAAUAGCGCACUGGUCGAGUGAUCCGGCGCCGAAGAUUUCCGGGGCUAAAACUUACUACCGAAGC